UGAGUCUGGAGUGUGUGGUUGGGGUUUUUUUAAGUCUGAAAUACUAACUUUUUGGCACUAUAAUUUAAAUAGCUAGAUGAGUGACCAGCUCAGGAACCUCCAAGUGCUGUGUCCUAGCAGCAGAAUCUUCAGCUGCCAAGGGUGCAUAUCUCGAAGUACCAAGGCCUGUGAUGAACACCACACAGAAUUAAUGAAACGCUGUCCAGCCUUGCUUACUGGAGGAGAGGUGGCAGGCAAUGCACAGCUAUGAUGCCCCAAUUAAGGCCUAACAAUGCUAAAUCGAGUGGAAUAACUACUUCAUUUAAGACCCUUCAUAAAACAACCCAGGACAUGAAAAGUGAAAGCAAGUAAGAGAUAAGUAUCACAAUCAGUUGUACCCAGCAAAGAGGCAGGAUGUAUAGCCGAUGCGUGAGAAAUCCAGGCAAACCAGGAAUGUACAAGCUGCACACAUACCAUGUGAAGGCUAUGACAGAUAGUCACAUUAAGAGAACUACCUCAACCACAGACAAACUGAGGCAACUGAGCCUGCAAACACAAGUUGUAUAUUUAAAAAACAGAUGGGACCCACAAGUACUGACAGGUCAAAAACAGGAUUGAUUUCGCUUCAUGUUGGAUUAAGGGAAAAUACCUAAUUUGCAUAAAAUGACCCUGCACUGACAAGACCUGAUUGUUUAGAGCAUAGCACAAUAGAUGGAUUAUCUGACUCC